UNCCAACAGUUUAUGCCCUACCCAUUACCUG
rnacentral:piRNA from 1 species